rnacentral:lncRNA from 1 species
AAUUUCCUGUCAGCACAGACAAGUCCAGAGGGGCUCAGAGGCUGUCCAUAACACAGAGCCUGCAUUCUGUCGCAAGCAACAUCAACCAACAGACUUACCAGGCUAAAAAGGCUACACCCCCUUUUUGCUCUGCUAUGUAAAUCCCUACCCAGAAAUGCUGCUUUCAGUUUUCUUUAGUUUUCCACAGAUUAAUUGACUGUGUUCUCUCCCUUGUCUCUUCAGUCCUUUCCCUGAGCCUCUGUUCCUUCCAGCUCCCAACUCUGGCGUACCUGUGCAUGGAUCUUCUCUGCUUUUGAAAUCUGCUGCUUGGAACAGAAUGACCUGGUUGUAGGGAUGAUGCCCCUUCUUCCUUUUGCCUUUGCCCACACUCUGGACUGGAUAGGUGGAUGCUUUUCUGAGGGAAGCUAAGAAACAAUCUUCAAAUUACUGUCAAAAAUCCAGGUACAGGAAGGCUGCUGUGAGAUCUCCCUGGAGCCUUCUCUUCCUCAAGCUGAAUAAACCAAAUUCUCUCAGCCUGUGGGAGAGGUGUUUCAGCCCUUUGAUCAUCCUCAUGAUCCUUGCUAACGGUGAAAUACAAUGGUAUGUGAAUAUCUCUUAGAAAGAAGAUUACUGUGGAAAUUAUGAAAGGCAAGAGACAUAGAAGAGGCAGAAGUAUGAAAAGAGUGUACAACUGCUAUUUAAUACUGCAAAUGAUGGUAAAAGACAGAGUUGGAAAUAGUCAAAUUUAGAAAACGGAAAAUUUAGAAUAGGGAAAGUGAAUAAAGAAUUACAUAAAUGUUCA